rnacentral:rRNA from 1 species
CUAUGGCUUAACCAUAGAACUGCUUGGGAAACUGAUAAUCUAGAGUGAGGGAGAGGCAGAUGGAAUUGGUGGUGUAGGGGUAAAAUCCGUAGAGAUCACCAGGAAUACCCAUUGCGAAGGCGAUCUGCUGGAACUCAACUGACGCUAAUGCGUGAAAGCGUGGGGAGCAAACAGGAUUAGAUACCCUGGUAGUCCACGCCCUAAACGAUGUAUACUAGUUGUUGCUAAGCUAGUCUUGGCAGUAAUGCACCUAACGGAUUAAGUAUACCGCCUGGGGAGUACGGUCGCAAGAUUAAAACUCAAAGGAAUAGACGGGGACCCGCACAAGCGGUGGAGCAUGUGGUUUAAUUCGAAGAUACGCGAAGAACCUUACCCGGACUUGAUAUCUAACAAAUCAUCUAGAGAUAGAAGAGUGUCUGCUUGCAGAAAUGUUAAGACAGGUGCUGCACGGCUGUCGUCAGCUCGUGUCGUGAGAUGUUGGGUUAAGUCCCGCAACGAGCGCAACCCACGUCAUUAGUUGCUAACAGUUC